GACUUUGACUCCACUAAAGUGUUAUCUAUCUUUUGCAAAAUUAAGAUAUCAAAAGGAGAGAGUAAAGAUGUUCUAGAGAAAGCUAUCAUGUACCUAGAGAUAUUCCCAACUUUGAAAUUUCAUCAUAUGAUUCGGAAACAUUAAUAAGCAAACUGAAAGAAUCAAUAUGUCAGAAUAAGGCUCUAACUGACCUCCAAAAACCUGGAAGAAUGAUGCAACAGAACCAAGGGCUCAAGCUCCUCCAGAAAUGCCUGAGUGCUGACCUGUGUAUGUGAGUCACCUUGCAGCUGGACAGGGAUAGCUCUGUGCUUAUUUACAGGACGCGUAAAGGCUGCUGCUGACCCUUGACCAAGAUAAGGAUGAAAUAGCUAAUGAUUUCUCAUGCAUGCUUAAAGUUAAACACCUCUGGACUACCUUGUGUAAUCUGUUUAGCAAUGUAUAAACCAAUAACUUGCACUGGUUUAACUAGUCACACAGCCUUAUUUCAGUUGUGUGACCAGAGGGGUGUAAAAGACCUGGUAAACUAAUGCCUUGGCGCUCUUAUCUGCAGAUGAAGUAUACUUUGUGUGCCUGAAGAGGACCAUAAGAGGACCCUGUGGCUGGAAGUCUUGGACCUCUCUGAUGUUUGCUGUGCUUUCUUUCUCCUGCUGUGCCAGCUCCUUUAACUUCAGUAAGGCCUCGUAUGAGCAUAGACCAUGGAGUCUUGUGAGGCCUUCAGUAAUCUCGCCUGUGCCAUUUUUGAACUAGGCCUAGUUAAUCAUUGCUCAUCUCAUCCUGGAAUAAACUCACUUUGGACAGAGAUCCAGCUGGAGCAAGAAGCCUGAAGCUGGAGGGGAAAAAUGAUGGCCCUCAUUUUCUCCCCCAUGUGAAGGAAUAGCUUGGGUAGUUGAUACUGUGAUAUUACCACAUGAAUACUGGUGAAAACGAAGAUAAAUAUUGGUGAAUAACAAGUCUUGGGAAAGCAUACCUCAUGGAAUAGCAAGAAGGUGGCUGAGACACUUCAUGGUGAUGCGGUGGUGGACUAGAUUUCCCCAUGUGAAGAGCUCUGAAGCUCACUCUGAUCCUUGUGAUCACAAUUCUGUAAAAGUGUAGUGUAACAGGUAUGAAUUCAACAGGACCAGCUUGUUGUGCUUUUUGAUUUUGAUCGUCCUCCAUGCAGUAUGCCAGUAAAAGUGGAGAAACCCUAAAGCUAUUUCUGAUUUCCUCAGGAGAAUCAGAGAAUCUGAGGAACAGUAGCUAAGUGGACGCAAUCCAGGUAUGAUGGCCGACAAAAAUGGUGGUGCCUCCAUUCCUUCCUUCCUUCAGCUAAUGUUGACUGAACACCUGUGCUAUGCCAGCCUCUAUGUAAGAUGCUGGAAAUAUAAAACAGCCACUAUCUCUGUUCUCAUGGAGUCUGGUGGAGGAGCCAGAGAUUGAUUAAAUGAAAACACAGUAACAAAAUGAGUAAGUGCUCUGAAGGAAAUACGGGUUUUAUGAGGACCUGUCAUUGAAGAAGCACACCUACGUGGGAUGUCAGGGAAGGCAUCCACUUGGAGGGAUGUUUGAACUGAGAUCUGAAGGAUGAGAAGGAGUGUUGUGGAGGAGGGAGCUGAGGGAGGGGGCCAUGCUGGGCAGAAGGAACAGUGACUACAGAGGUUCUGAAGAAGGUUCUUAUGGCUAAAAUGGAGAAAGCAAGAAAGGAGAGUAGGGAAGAGAAGGUUGGGGAUAGACCAUGCACAGGGCCUCAAAGCUCUUGGUUGACAAUUUUAUAAUACUUAGUGUUAAAGAUAUUGUUUCACCAUCUUUUGGCCUGAUGGCACUGUUUCUGAUGAGGUUAGUGGCUACUUCUAAUUGCCAUUCUCCUAUGUAUCAUGUAGUAUGUUUUCUCUAACUGCUUUCAAGAUUUUCCCUUCAUCAUGGUUUUACUAUGAUGUACCUAUGUGUGAUCUCCUUUGCUGUUCUGUGAUCUUCUUGAAUCAGUAAAUGUAUGUCUUUUUAUCAUAUUGGGGAAGUUUCAGCCAUUAUUUUUUUCAAAUAUUUGUUUUUGCCCCAUACUUUUUCUCAUCUCCUAUGGGACUCCAAUUAUAAAAAGUAUGUUAUACCUUUCAAUA